rnacentral:tRNA from 1 species
UGACUCAGUUGGUAGAGCAUGGUGCUUGCAACACCAGGGUCGUGGGUUCAAAUCCCAA